AUCAAAAUCUGCAAAAACUUCCCUGCAUAAAAAUCUUGUCAAUGCAUAAUAUAUGAAAAUGAGCAAUAUCUAGAGAAUAAUAAUUUGAUUUGGGGAGGAAAAUAUGACUAGAGAUGAGGUAUACAGUUAGUUCAUAGAUGAGUUCAGUAAACAGAUGAAUGCAUGAUUAAAUAGAAAUAUUACCUAAAGAUGUGUCUUUUGCUUAG
rnacentral:misc_RNA from 1 species